rnacentral:rRNA from 1 species
CGAGUCUUAACCGGGCGUUAAGUUGCAGGGUAUAGACCCGAAACCCGGUGAUCUAGCCAUGGGCAGGUUGAAGGUUGGGUAACACUAACUGGAGGACCGAACCGACUAAUGUUGAAAAAUUAGCGGAUGACCUGUGGCUGGGGGUGAAAGGCCAAUCAAACCGGGAGAUAGCUGGUUCUCCCCGAAAGCUAUUUAGGUAGCGCCUCGUGAAUUCAUCUCCGGGGGUAGAGCACUGUUUCGGCUAGGGGGCCAUCCCGGCUUACCAACCCGAUGCAAACUGCGAAUACCGGAGAAUGUUAUCACGGGAGACACACGGCGGGUGCUAACGUCCGUCGUGAAGAGGGAAACAACCCAGACCGCCAGCUAAGGUCCCAAAGUCAUGGUUAAGUGGGAAACGAUGUGGGAAGGCCCAGACAGCCAGGAUGUUGGCUUAGAAGCAGCCAUCAUUUAAAGAAAGCGUAAUAGCUCACUGGUCGAGUCGGCCUGCGCGGAAGAUGUAACGGGGCUAAACCAUGCACCGAAGCUGCGGCAGCGAACGUAUCACCCAAGACAACUUUACGGAGUUGACGAUUGACGGAGCGAAGCGACGUCAAAGCGUUCAUUAAAGUCGAGUUGGCUUAGGGAUACGUUCGUUGGGUAGGGGAGCGUUCUGUAAGCCUGUGAAGGUGUGUCGUGAGGCAUGCUGGAGGUAUCAGAAGUGCGAAUGCUGACAUAAGUAACGAUAAAGCGGGUGAAAAGCCCGCUCGCCGGAAGACCAAGGGUUCCUGUCCAACGUUAAUCGGGGCAGGGUGAGUCGACCCCUAAGGCGAGGCCGAAAGGCGUAGUCGAUGGGAAACGGGUUAAUAUUCCCGUACUUGGUGUUACUGCGAAGGGGGGACGGAGAAGGCUAUGUUGGCCGGGCGACGGUUGUCCCGGUUUAAGCGUGUAGGUGUGUGUUCCAGGUAAAUCCGGUUCACUUUAACACUGAGGCGUGACGACGAGGCACUACGGUGCUGAAGCAACAAAUGCCCUGCUUCCAGGAAAAGCCUCUAAGCAUCAGGUAACAUCAAAUCGUACCCCAAACCGACACAGGUGGUCAGGUAGAGAAUACCAAGGCGCUUGAGAGAACUCGGGUGAAGGAACUAGGCAAAAUGGUGCCGUAACUUCGGGAGAAGGCACGCUGACACGUAGGUGAAGUGAUUUACUCAUGGAGCUGAAGUCAGUCGAAGAUACCAGCUGGCUGCAACUGUUUAUUAAAAACACAGCACUGUGCAAACACGAAAGUGGACGUAUACGGUGUGACGCCUGCCCGGUGCCGGAAGGUUAAUUGAUGGGGUCAGCGCAAGCGAAGCUCCUGAUCGAAGCCCCGGUAAACGGCGGCCGUAACUAUAACGGUCCUAAGGUAGCGAAAUUCCUUGUCGGGUAAGUUCCGACCUGCACGAAUGGCGUAAUGAUGGCCAGGCUGUCUCCACCCGAGACUCAGUGAAAUUGAACUCGCUGUGAAGAUGCAGUGUACCCGCGGCAAGACGGAAAGACCCCGUGAACCUUUACUAUAGCUUGACACUGAACAUUGAGCCUUGAUGUGUAGGAUAGGUGGGAGGCUUUGAAGUGUGGACGCCAGUCUGCAUGGAGCCGACCUUGAAAUACCACCCUUUAAUGUUUGAUGUUCUAACGUGGACCCGUAAUCCGGGUUGCGGACAGUGUCUGGUGGGUAGUUUGACUGGGGCGGUCUCCUCCUAAAGAGUAACGGAGGAGCACGAAGGUUGGCUAAUCCUGGUCGGACAUCAGGAGGUUAGUGCAAUGGCAUAAGCCAGCUUGACUGCGAGCGUGACGGCGCGAGCAGGUGCGAAAGCAGGUCAUAGUGAUCCGGUGGUUCUGAAUGGAAGGGCCAUCGCUCAACGGAUAAAAGGUACUCCGGGGAUAACAGGCUGAUACCGCCCAAGAGUUCAUAUCGACGGCGGUGUUUGGCACCUCGAUGUCGGCUCAUCACAUCCUGGGGCUGAAGUAGGUCCCAAGGGUAUGGCUGUUCGCCAUUUAAAGUGGUACGCGAGCUGGGUUUAGAACGUCGUGAGACAGUUCGGUCCCUAUCUGCCGUGGGCGCUGGAGAACUGAGGGGGGCUGCUCCUAGUACGAGAGGACCGGAGUGGACGCAUCACUGGUGUUCGGGUUGUCAUGCCAAUGGCACUGCCCGGUAGCUAAAUGCGGAAGAGAUAAGUGCUGAAAGCAUCUAAGCACGAAACUUGCCCCGA